rnacentral:rRNA from 1 species
UCAGGAUGAACGCUGGCGGCGUGCCUAAUACAUGCAAGUCGGACGGAGAAUUAGCAAUAAUCUUAGUGGCGAACGGGUGAGUAACGCGUUGGUGACCUGCCCCGAAGAGUGGGAUAACAGUUCGAAAGGACUGCUAAUACCGCAUAAUAUCUCUGGAGUUAGAGACUGGAGAUGAAAGGAGCAAUCCGCUUUGGGAGGGGCCUGCGUCCCAUCAGCUAGUUGGUAAGGUAAAAGCCUACCAAGGCGAAGACGGGUAGGGGACCUGAGAGGGUGAUCCCCCACACUGGCACUGAAACACGGGCCAGACACCUACGGGUGGCAGCAGUAGGGAAUAUUGCACAAUGGGCGAAAGCCUGAUGCCAGCAACGCCGCGUGCGCGAAGAAGGCCUUCGGGUCGUAAACCUCUGUCCUUGGUGACGAAACAAAUGACGGUAGCCAAGGAGGAAGCCCCGGCUAACUACGUGCCAGCAGCAGC